UUUUCGUUUGACGGCGAGACAGCUAUGAUGACUUCAUAAAUAUCAAGAUGAUAUGUCGAUUCAGCCUCUCAGAGAUGCUAGAAUAUUCAUGUGGCCAUUCAUAAAAAUGAAUAUAUAUACGCAUGUAUAAGCGUUUGUGUUUGUAUUGUGUUAAAAUAACACAAACAAAAUUAGACCAAGGCAUCUUCCUACCUUUUCUCUAGAAGUACUACUAGGCAGCCAGCUUCCAUGUUGAGUUGUAGUUAUGAAUAGAGCUCCACCGCGUAUCAGCCCACUGUAUGCAUACAAGACAAUAUUCCCGCAUCCCUAAUUUUGUGUCGUGAUAUAUGCACAUGGAAUAUUUUUUUUGAAACCAUGCAUGAGAGUUGCAACUGAAUUCAUUAAGAGUAUUUAAAGAUUUAAUAAAAUAUUUAAAAUACCUACGUAAUUAUUAACAUUGUAUACAAAUAAUCCACAUUACGAGUAUAAUAUGUAUGAUUCAAUAAAAAUAUAUCCACAUUUUUUAAUCCAAAUUACUAAAUUCAUGGAAAAUUUAAAGGGUCAAAAAUAUAUUUAAAAUUAUGUAUAAUUACCAAAUAAAAUUUGUGGUUAAUAAAAAUAAUAUCAAUAUUUAUUGACAACCUAAUUAAAAUGUGGUUUUUAAAAAAUACUAAAAAGGAUCUAAAAUCAAUAAAACAAUGUUCACUAUGUACAAAAUAAUGGGAUUAAUUUACAAAAUAAUAAUUAUAUAAAUUAUAAGCAAUUACAAGCAUGUGAAGUUCGGGAAACUAGAAUUGACAAUAAUAAAUCACUAAGGAAAUUAUAAACAAAUGCACUAAUAAUUUUUUAGAGAAUUAGUAUGGGAGACAAACCAUAGCAUCAUAUGCAUAGUAGCAUGUUGCCAAAUUUUCUUGCAACAUUACUCCUUAUUGAACCAUAUGUCAAUUUCAGAACCUGAGGCAAGCACCAAUCUUGAAGCGUCAAGUUAGAGUACCUUUUAGUUAGCACACAACUUCAUACAUUACGCAUGUUCUUUGUUUAUGCUUUCUUAAAAGCAUCUUUACAAAACUCUACCACUUGCCGUAUAUAUUCACCACAUUAAAUAAAAGAAGUUUUAGAAUUAUCAAUUAUGGUGGGUGAUGGAACUCGGGAUGUUACACGGCGUUAGAGUUCCAUUGCAUCGGGCUUAAUAACUAAAAUCACUAUAUAUUCCAACAAGGAAUUGACAACGUUGACCAUGGAGCAUUGUAUGGGACGGGCAAGUAAAUAGCGUCUUUUUAAUGCCGUUGUGCCCUCGCAAAAGUUAUAUUUAUGGGGCGUGAAUCCACGAGUCAGACCAGGGAGUUGUAUCUAUCCUAUCGGCUAUGGGUGUCGUAAGUAACCUAUCACCACACGGUCGUUAAACCUUUAUCGCUAGGCGGCAUAAACCCAACCAGUAGUAGAUUUUGGGCAACUCAGGGAAUACCUACCGAGCGAGGGGCAGGGGUAUUGACACACGCACAAGGGUGAAAAGCUUGGACCUUUGACCUGGCCACACAUCUUGGAUGUGCAAGGUUACGGUUACCGACCUGGCAGAAUGGCUAAGUUAAUAGUUCAGGCGUAAAGUAGCGCACCUCUAUCUAUACCUACUAAUAAAGCACCUAUUGUUUCUGCGGUACGUCAUUAAAUUUACCCUUAAAGUUCGCCAAAAUUACCCAUCAAUGCCACCCGUAAGUGACAAAAAUGAUUCGUUUUUGAACUUCGAUUCGGCUCUUUUUUUCUGAUUCUAAAGGAUGCGGUUCCAAUACUUUCUCACACGCACAAAGUUAGCCCAAUUGAUUGGGUGCGCCUUAUUCCACCUAGGAGACCCAAGUUCGAUCCCCACUGCAGCCUACAAUCCUUUUUGUUCUUCUAUUUUGCAUUUUUUCUACUUUUUUUUCUCUUUUGCCUUUAUUGAAAACUUUGCACACAUGUUAAUCAUGGAUUAAAGAAACAACCUUUUUUGUUCUUCUAUUUCGCAUUUCUUCUACUUUUUUUCCUCUUUUCCCUUUAUUGAAAACUUUGCACACAUGUUAAUCAUGGAUUAAAGAAAUGUCAAAAUUUGUAGAUAUAAAAGUUCUCAUAUAUACAAAAAAAUGUACAGUGCGUAUGGACAAUUUGUAGAUAUAAAAGUUCUCAUAUAUACAAAAAAAAAAAUGUACAGUGUGUAUGGACAAUAAAUAAUAUAUUUUCCUUUUAUUUUAAAAACUAUUGAUCGUGUAUGUAGAAAACUUUAAAUGUGCAUACGAAAAUAUUUCCUGUGUAUAAGAAAACAUAUACAAAAAUAUAUAAUGUGUAUGGAACAAAGUAGAUAUAAAAAAUAGAAAUUUUCGAAAAUGUUAAUCGUGUAUUUAAAUAAUGUAAAACAUGUAUAUAAAAAUGUUCAUGAUGCAUGCAAAAUAUGUAAAAUGUGUAUUAAAAAAAUUAGACAUCAAAACUCAAUAAUGUUUCGGAUGUCACACGCAAAA
rnacentral:lncRNA from 1 species